rnacentral:lncRNA from 1 species
AUCAGAUGCUGGGCAGGUGGUGUGUUGCCUCCCUCCAUACCAUGCAUCUCUUCCCUUUGGCUGAUCCUGAGGUGUAUCCCUUAGAAAUAAGCUGGUAAAUCAUGAGUUCUUCUGUUUCUUCUGCGUGGGUUGACCAUGGGCAUCAGGCAUCAGAGAUACAACUCUGGAUCUUGUCCAUCCAUUGCUGGGCACUCUGUCCAUCCUGGGCGCAGAAGUUAUACACACGUUUGCUGGUCUUGAGCUACAAAACCAAAUGACAGUGAACCAGAGAUGAAGGGCAGGGCUGUUUUAUGGAUUUGGGAGUCUACUGCUAAGAUUUCAGCAUGUCCUGUGGCUGAGUUAAUCAGAGUUAUGACAGGAAGGUACCGGGCACACCAUCGCAAUGCUCCAUCAAUGCUAGUAUGUUGUGUUCUUUCCUUCAUAUCAAGUCAACUCAAGCUUGCUCUACUUACCUGGUGUACACAGUCUAAGAACUGUAAGAAGACUGGAGCAAAACCACUCCCCUGACAGUUGAGGGUCAAGCUGCUCCUCUGACUGAAUUUGUGACCAAAAGAGAGCCACUCUUUUUCAACCAACAUCUGGAAGCCUUCAAGUGUCCUAUAAAAGGGAUCACUGAGUAACUGAACCAGGGAUGUCACCUAGGGCAUAAGCAGGAUGGAUUGUCAUUAAUUUUAGUUCUGAAAAAGGCCUAUUACUAAGAUAAAAGCACUUCCUUCUGAUGAUAGCUAAUUCACAAAUUUACCUGGACAGCAAAUUUGUUCACUAACCAUUCCAGGAUGGCCAAUAAAAUUAAUUUUGUAAACUUGCCAGUAAAAACUAAAGCUCAAAUUCA